rnacentral:rRNA from 1 species
GACGAACGCUGGCGGCGUGCUUAACACAUGCAAGUCGAACGAAGUGGCGAACGGGUGAGUAACGCGUAAUCAACCUGCCCUUCAGAGGGGGACAACAGUUGGAAACGAAUGCUCAUACCGCAUACUGAAGGAGGGGAUUGCGUCUGAUUAGCUAGUGGGCGGGGUAACGGCCCACCAAGGCGAUGCUCAGUAGGCGGGCUUGGGGGAUGAACGGCCAAAUUGGGACUGGGACACGGCCCAGACUCCUACUGGAGGCAGCAGGGGGGAAUCUUCCGAAAUGGACGAAAGUCUGCCUGAGCAACGCCGGGGGGGGGAUGACGGCCUUCGGGUUGUAAAGCUCUGUUAAUCGGGACGCGGUACCGGAAUAGAAAGCCACGGCUAACUACGUGCCAGCAGCCGCGGUAAUUC